ensembl:lncRNA
UGUAUUCUCCGUAAGGCCCUGUUUUGCAGAUGUGACCGGCUGAUUAGCCAUCACGCCAUACAGCUGUGGGGGAACUAAUGAUUGGUUUGGCCGUUGCAGCAGGGGGUUCAAAUUGAUUGACGGACGUAGCUCCACUAUACUCCUGAACACUCCUGGACAGACCAGUGUUCUGUGGCUGCAGUGCAGAGUCUGCUGACGGUGUCUCUGCUUAUCGGCGGCGUCAGGGUCGGACAUCCGAGGUAAACAAAAUGUUUGUUUAUGCUAAUUGUUAUCGUUCUGUUGCUUGAUUGUUUUUAAACAUUUCUUUGUUUCAUUACCGUUUUGCCUCUGUUGCCUUGUCUUUUUGUUUGUUUAUUUUGUUGUUUCUUUCUUUUAGUUUGUAGUUGUUUUGCCUAGUUCUGUAUUAGUUUGCUUGGUUCGAGUUUAGUUUCGUUUCUCCCCAUGUGUGUUUAUCUUUAGGUUGUCGUGGUUGUGUUCUCUGGCUCAGUAAUCAGGUUUCUCCCCUCCAUAGCUGCGUAGGGCCUGUGUGACUGUCAGUUUUAAUAACUGCAUUUAUAGUAACGUGUGUGCGUGUGCGUGUGCUGAAUAUAUUUUUGUACCAGAAUAAAAAUUGUAUUUAUGUUUUUCUAUACACGCCUCUGUAUUCAUUUGUGCACGUACCUGUGUUUAGUAGGGGAAACCCUCUGUUGAGAGGCAGGAUUGUUAACAUUCUUAGGGUGAAAGUCCCUAGGUGGUGUUGUCGGUUCCAUGUUGAAAGAAACCAGAAGACCUUCACCAGUCCUAACUUGGUUACACAUACAUUCAAUUUCCUACACUCAGCAGAACAGAUUUCUGUUUAAGUAGCACUGGCUAAUGUGAGGCUGCUUUUCUUUUUCAUUCAGCCAUCCUUUAUCCUGUAUUGUGUCAGUUGUCGCAGU